CAAUAGCGUAUAUUUAAGUUGUUGCAGUUAAAAAGCUCGUAGUUGGAUUUCGGAUGGGAUUUGCCGGUCCGUCGUUACGAUGUGCACUGGCCAGUCCUAUCUUGUUGUCGGGGACUAGCUCCUUGGAUUCACUUCCUGGGACUAGGAGCUGACGAGGUUACUUUGAGUAAAUUAGAGUGUUCAAAGCAAGCCUACGCUCUGAAUACAUUAGCAUGGAAUAACACGAUAGGACUCUGGCUUAUCUUGUUGGUCUGUGAGACCAGAGUAAUGAUUAAGAGGGACAGUCGGGGACAUUCGUAUUUCAUUGUCAGAGGUGAAAUUCUUGGAUUUAUGAAAGACGAGCUUCUGCGAAAGCAUUUGUCAAGGAUGUUUUCAUUAA
rnacentral:rRNA from 1 species